GGGAGGUAGUGACAAUAAAUAACAAUACGGGGUUCUUCGAAUCUCGUAAUUGGAAUGAGUACAAUUUAAAUCUCUUAACGAGGAACAAUUGGAGGGCAAGUCUGGUGCCAGCAGCCGCGGUAAUUCCAGCUCCAAUAGCGUAUAUUAAAGUUGUUGCAGUUAAAAAGCUCGUAGUUGAAUUUCGGGGUCAGCAGGUUGGUCUUGCCACUGGUAUGUACUAGCCUGCCGAUUCCUCCUUCUUGUAGAACCGUAAUGCCAUUAAUUUGGUGUUGCGGGGAAACAGGACUGUUACUUUGAAAAAUUAGAGUGUUUAAAGCAGGCUAGCGCCUGAAUACAUUAGCAUGGAAUAAUGAAAUAGGACGUUCGAACCUAUUUUGUUGGUUUCUAGGAUUGACGUAAUGAUUAAUAGGGAUAGUUGGG
rnacentral:rRNA from 1 species